ensembl:snRNA U6 U6 spliceosomal RNA
GUGCUUGCUUCAGCAGCACAUAUACUAAAAUUGAAAUGAUAUGGGCAAGGUUAGCAUAGUCCCUGCACAAAAUACAUGACAGAUAACUUAAAAUGAUAAUUUGUUUUGUUUU